rnacentral:misc_RNA from 1 species
UUUCCGUAGGUGAACCUGCGGAAGGAUCAUUACAGUGUUCUCUGCCCUCACGGGUAGAAACGCCCACCCUUGUGUAUUAUAUCUUUGUUGCUUUGGCAGGCCGCCCUCGGGCACCGGCUCCGGCUGGAUCGCGCCUGCCAGAGGAAACCCAAACUCUGAAUGUUAGUGUCGUCUGAGUACUAUCUAAUAGUUAAAACUUUCAACAACGGAUCUCUUGGUUCUG